GACGAACGCUGGCGGCGUGCUUAACACAUGCAAGUCGAACGGAAAGGCCCUGCUUUUGUGGGGUGCUCGAGUGGCGAACGGGUGAGUAACACGUGAGUAACCUGCCCUUGACUUUGGGAUAACUUCAGGAAACUGGGGCUAAUACCGGAUAGGAGCUCCUGCUGCAUGGUGGGGGUUGGAAAGUUUCGGCGGUUGGGGAUGGACUCGCGGCUUAUCAGCUUGUUGGUGGGGUAGUGGCUUACCAAGGCUUUGACGGGUAGCCGGCCUGAGAGGGUGACCGGCCACAAGGGGACUGAGAGAGGGCCCAGACGCGUACGGGAGGCAGCAGGGGGGAAUAUUACACAAUGGGCGGAAGCCUGAGGCGGCAACGCCGCGUGCGGGAUGACGGCCUUCGGGUGGUAAACCGCUUUCGCCUGUGACGAAGCGUGAGUGACGGUAAAGGGUAAAGAAGCACCGGCUAACUACGUG
rnacentral:rRNA from 1 species